UUCUGAAACAGCACCUCCCUUCCCGUCCCACUAUUCCCAAAGGCUGCUAUGAAGAGGACUGCAAGCCCACCCUCCCUCCAAGAGCCAACAGAAGGGCUGGGGAGACUGACACUUAAACAAGAAGGGUGACACAGCGUGCGCAGGAUUGUCACAGAGCCAGUGCAGAGAUGCAAGGAGCAACCAGCAGAUUCUGUCUGGGGGGUCAGGGGGGUCUUGCUUCAUCAAGGCAGGGACGCCAAUCUGAUUUGGAUGGAAAAGAUACAUCAGGGUAGAAGAAACAGUGUGAGAACAGGUGUGCAGAUAUGAAAGAGCCAGUAGUCCUGGGAAAUAGUGUGCAGGAAGCGAUCAGACAUGAGGUAGGAAGAGAAAUGAUGCCAGAUGGUGAUCGCGUGCUUCAGGAUUAUGCAAUUGCCAAAUAUUUACUGACUCGGCAAGGCCUAGUCCAAAAGUGGAUAUUAAAUAACUUCUCCACAAAAUAUACUGGCUUAUAUUCUGAAUUGACACAACUUUUUAAACCACUAACUGAAUCUCCAAUGUAAAUGACAUAACAAUAGUUCCAUGAAUAGAGCUUUAACUACCAUUAGAAGUUGAAUUUGAGUUCAAAAUUAUUAUUUUCAUAUAUUUUAUUCAGUGAGCUAAAUUUCUCACACCAGACAAAGUCCAAAGGUAAUCUACACUUCACAGAUUUGGAGAACAUUUCCAAGCAUUGUGACCAUGGAAUAGUGUCCUAGGGCAUCUUAAUUGCUAAUAAUGUUCAGCAUUAACUAGACAUACACAGACUGUUGAACACUGUACGAUCUUCUGGUAAGAAACACCACUUCUAGUGUCAACAAGCUCAUGUCUCAAAAGGGAACCUUGUUGCCCCACCACCCAAGAAAGUCACGGUUCAUUGCGGAUUGAAGAGGCAUAAGAGAAAAUAGGUGAAUUAGAAGAUAAAAUUAUGGAAAAAGAUGAAGCUGAGAAAAAGA